CCUACGGGAGGCAGCAGUGGGGAAUAUUGGACAAUGGGCGCAAGCCUGAUCCAGCAAUGCCGCGUGAGUGAUGAAGGCCUUAGGGUCGUAAAGCUCUUUUACCAGGGAUGAUAAUGACAGUACCUGGAGAAUAAGCUCCGGCUAACUCCGUGCCAGCAGCCGCGGUAAUACGGAGGGAGCUAGCGUUGUUCGGAAUUACUGGGCGUAAAGCGUACGUAGGCGGUUAUUCAAGUCAGAGGUGAAAGCCCGGGGCUCAACCCCGGAACGGCCUUUGAAACUAGGUAGCUAGAAUCUUGGAGAGGUCAGUGGAAUUCCGAGUGUAGAGGUGAAAUUCGUAGAUAUUCGGAAGAACACCAGUGGCGAAGGCGACUGACNGA
rnacentral:rRNA from 1 species